AGAGUUUGAUCCUGGCUCAGGAUGAACGCUGGCGGCGUGCUUAACACAUGCAAGUCGAACGGGGUUAUCAUUUUUGAAGCGAUUAGCUUGCUAAGAGUGGAAAAGCUGAUAACUUAGUGGCGGACGGGUGAGUAACGCGUGGGUAACCUGCCUUACACAGGGGGAUAACACUUAGAAAUAGGUGCUAAUACCGCAUAAGCGCACAGUCCCGCAUGGGACAGAGUGAAAAACAUUAGUGGUGUAAGAUGGACCCGCGUCUGAUUAGCUUGUUGGCGGGGUAACGGCCCACCAAGGCGACGAUCAGUAGCCGGCCUGAGAGGGUGGACGGCCACAUUGGGACUGAGACACGGCCCAAACUCCUACGGGAGGCAGCAGUGGGGAUAUUGGACAAUGGGGGAAACCCUGAUCCAGCGACGCCGCGUGAGUGAAGAAGUAUUUCGGUAUGUAAAGCUCUAUCAGCAGGGAAGAAAGAAAUGACGGUACCUGAGUAAGAAGCCCCGGCUAACUACGUG
rnacentral:rRNA from 1 species